rnacentral:lncRNA from 1 species
UCUGGAUUUGCAUAACUUCACUUGAAACAGUUGUCCUUAUCCUGCUAAGAACUGGGUUACAGAGGGACAGCUAGAUGGCUCAAUGGAUAGAGCUAGAUCUGGAGGAGGAUCUCAUACGGUGGGAAUAGAAGUUUGGGAGAAAUCCCUAUAUACCUGCUGGAGAUAAGAAGGUUCUUUGGACCAAGCCGCUGGCAGUCUGCUGCCAAAGCUGUGAUUAAAGCACCCUGAC